AGAGUUUGAUCCUGGCUCAGGACGAACGCUGGCGGCGUGCUUAACACAUGCAAGUCGAACGAGGCUUUCGAAGCUUGUUUUGAAAGCCGAGUGGCAAACGGGUGAGUAACGCGUAAACAACCUGCCUUCAGGAUGGGGACAACAGACGGAAACGACUGCUAAUACCGAAUACGAUUCCUCCGGCGCAUGCCGGAAGAAAGAAAGGGUGGCCUCUGGAACAAGCUAUCGCCUGAAGAGGGGUUUGCGUCUGAUUAGGCAGUUGGCGGGGUAACGGCCCACCAAACCGACGAUCAGUAGCCGGUCUGAGAGGAUGAACGGCCACACUGGAACUGAGACACGGUCCAGACUCCUACGGGAGGCAGCAGUGGGGAAUCUUCCGCAAUGGACGAAAGUCUGACGGAGCAACGCCGCGUGAGUGAUGACGGCCUUCGGGUUGUAAAGCUCUUUGAUCCGGGACGAACGGUCUCUGCGUCAAUACCGCAGAGAAAUGACGGUACCGGAAGAACAAGCCACGGCUAACUACGUGCCAGCAGCCGCGGUAAUACGUAGGUGGCAAGCGUUGUCCGGAAUUAUUGGGCGUAAAGCGCGCGCAGGCGGCCCUUUAAGUCCAUCUUAAAAGCGUGGGGCUUAACCCCAUGAUGGGAUGGAAACUGGAGAGCUGGAGUAUCGGAGAGGAAA
rnacentral:rRNA from 1 species